AUGCGUUAAAUAAUAGUCUUGAACACUCCACCACAAGCCGGUAGGAUUUGUUCUUAGAUUCUUCAAUUAAACAAUAAAUUAAACCAAGGAAAUAAAAACUAGAUUCUAACGUAAGGUUAGAUCCGGUAAAAAGUUACACAAUAGUUUCCGGUGUAGAAACUAUUGUGCGAAAAGAAUUAACUAAAUUCUAAAAAGGAAAAUGUAAAUUGCAAGGGAAAAUAGUGUAGAACUUGUAAAAAAUAAAUAAAGAAACAAUGCCUAAAUUGCUGGAAAAGAAAAUUGCAAAAGCGAAAAACGGCAAAGGAAAAAAAAUUGGAAAAGCUUCGGAACCACUUUAGGUUUUAAAAGUGGCUAUUUAUAAUGGUGUCAUUAAGUAACUGCCUGCUGCC
rnacentral:lncRNA from 1 species